AUCUAUUAAUGAUGAAUAAUAUCAGUUAUCCCUGUCAGACAUUUUUAUGUUGAUAACUAAAAUUUUAUCUGAAGUAAAU
rnacentral:snoRNA from 1 species